rnacentral:rRNA from 1 species
AACGAACGCUGGCGGCAUGCCUAACACAUGCAAGUCGAACGAGACCUUCGGGUCUAGUGGCGCACGGGUGCGUAACGCGUGGGAACCUGCCCUUAGGUUCGGAAUAACUCCCCGAAAGGGGUGCUAAUACCGGAUAAUUUCUUCGGACCAAAGAUUUAUCGCCUUUGGAUGGGCCCGCGUUGGAUUAGCUAGUUGGUAGGGUAAAAGCCUACCAAGGCGACGAUCCAUAGCUGGUCUGAGAGGAUGAUCAGCCACACUGGGACUGAGACACGGCCCAGACUCCUACGGGAGGCAGCAGUGGGGAAUAUUGGACAAUGGGCGAAAGCCUGAUCCAGCAAUGCCGCGUGAGUGAUGAAGGCCUUAGGGUUGUAAAGCUAUUUUACCCGGGAUGAUAAUGACAGUACCGGGAGAAUAAGCUCCGGCUAACUCCGUG